GAGAGAGAGAGAGAGAGAGCAAGCGAAACCCAAAACCCACCAAACCCACCGAACUUCCCAUUCCUACAACGAUAGCUCCAGUAAAAGUGUACGGACCACCCAUGUCCACAGUUGUGUCCAGCUUAUCUCCAUUAACAUGUCCAAGGGCGAGCACAAAAGGCCUGAGUUCCUCAAGCUCCAGGUAGCAUGAUAGGAUGUGAAGGCAUUAAUUUCAGUUUAAUAAGGACUCAGAAGUCAGAGUUCUACUUAUGGUUUUCUCGAAUAUUGUAAUUAACAGAGUAGAGGGCAGCUGCAUGCAUUCUUAUCCUUGAUUUAUUGCUUCUUCUGGAUGGGAGCUUUGUUAGGUUGUCAAGAUUGCUGAUUUUCUCAAUCUGGUGUGACUACCGAAACUGGAACAUACUUUUGGAUGGCUUGAGAGGUUAUCGAACACAAACCAUAUGAUCACAAAGUUGAUGUUUUCAGCUUUGGAUUUCUACAGUGGGAGUUGCUUACAGGAAAGGGUCUGAGGCCUACAAUUCCGAGUCAUACUCCUCCAAAGCUUGGGGAAUUGCUUGAGAGAUGUUGGCAGCAAGAUCCAUCUUUGAGACCAGAAUUCUCCAAAAUUUUAGAUAUUUUGCGGCACAUGGCCAAGAGGGUUGCAGAUGAGAGAAUGGACCGGCAGAAGAGGAAAUCUCCUUCUAGAAGGGUAUCCGCUAUUGUACAGAGCAUCAAUUGAAGUGGCAACUGGCAAGUGAGAAGCUGUUUAUAACACAUGUAAUGAUGUAAUAAUCUUGUUUGCUGAGUUCCUUUCAUUUUGUAUUUCCUCCAUUUGGUACUUUCUUCUGUUAAUCUAACUAAUUACUAGAUAAUGCCUGAAUGGUUACUGAAUUUAGUAAUAAUCCAAUCACUUCUGUGAGUAAAUUUUUUAUUUUC